rnacentral:tRNA from 1 species
CAGAUGUAGUUCAGUGGUAGAACUUCAGCUUCCCAAGCUGAUAAUGCGGGUUCGAUUCCCGUCAUCUG